UGGGGAAUUUUGGACAAUGGGCGCAAGCCUGAUCCAGCCAUGCCGCGUGCAGGAAGAAGGCCUUCGGGUUGUAAACUGCUUUUGUCAGGGAAGAAAUCCUCUGGGUUAAUACCUCGGAGGGAUGACGGUACCUGAAGAAUAAGCACCGGCUAACUACGUGCCAGCAGCCGCGGUAAUACGUAGGGUGCGAGCGUUAAUCGGAAUUACUGGGCGUAAAGCGUGCGCAGGCGGCUUUGCAAGACAGAUGUGAAAUCCCCGGGCUCAACCUGGGAACUGCAUUUGUGACUGCAAGGCUAGAGUGCGGCAGAGGGAGAUGGAAUUCCGCGUGUAGCAGUGAAAUGCGUAGAUAUGCGGAGGAACACCGAUGGCGAAGGCAAUCUCCUGGGCCUGCACUGACGCUCAUGCACGAAAGCGUGGGGAGCAAACAGG
rnacentral:rRNA from 1 species